GACGAACGCUGGCGGCGUGCUUAACACAUGCAAGUCGAACGAAGAGCGAUGGAAGCUUGCUUCUAUCAAUCUUAGUGGCGAACGGGUGAGUAACGCGUAAUCAACCUGCCCUUCAGAGGGGGACAACAGUUGGAAACGACUGCUAAUACCGCAUACGAUCUAAUCUCGGCAUCGAGGAUAGAUGAAAGGUGGCCUCUACAUGUAAGCUAUCACUGAAGGAGGGGAUUGCGUCUGAUUAGCUAGUUGGAGGGGUAACGGCCCACCAAGGCGAUGAUCAGUAGCCGGUCUGAGAGGAUGAACGGCCACAUUGGGACUGAGACACGGCCCAGACUCCCACGGGAGGCAGCAGUGGGGAAUCUUCCGCAAUGGACGAAAGUCUGACGGAGCAACGCCGCGUGAGUGAUGACGGCCUUCGGGUUGUAAAGCUCUGUUAAUCGGGACGAAAGGCCUUCUUGCGAAUAGUGAGAAGGAUUGACGGUACCGGAAUAGAAAGCCACGGCUAACUACGUG
rnacentral:rRNA from 1 species